rnacentral:rRNA from 1 species
CGAACGCUGGCGGCGUGCUUAACACAUGCAAGUCGAGCGGUAAGGCCCUUCGGGGUACACGAGCGGCGAACGGGUGAGUAACACGUGGGUGAUCUGCCUCGUACUCUGGGAUAAGCCUGGGAAACUGGGUCUAAUACCGGAUAUGACCACGCACUGCAUGGUGUGUGGUGGAAAGAUUUAUCGGUGCGAGAUGGGCCCGCGGCCUAUCAGCUUGUUGGUGGGGUAAUGGCCUACCAAGGCGACGACGGGUAGCCGGCCUGAGAGGGCGACCGGCCACACUGGGACUGAGACACGGCCCAGACUCCUACGGGAGGCAGCAGUGGGGAAUAUUGCACAAUGGGCGAAAGCCUGAUGCAGCGACGCCGCGUGCGGGAUGACGGCCUUCGGGUUGUAAACCGCUUUCGACAGGGACGAAGCGUGAGUGACGGUACCUGUAGAAGAAGCACCGGCCAACUAC